AUUCCAGCUCCAAUAGCGUAUAUUAAAGUUGUUGUGGUUAAAAAGCUCGUAGUUGGAUCUCGGCGGACUGAGGGCGGUUUGCUUGCUAGUAUUACUGCCCUAUAGUCCGUAGUUUUGCCAGAGGUUUCGAGGUGCUCUUAAUCGAGUGUCCCGGGAUGCUGGCAGGUUUACUUUGAAAAAAUUAGAGUGCUCAAAGCAGGCUAUUACGCCUGAAUAUUCGUGCAUGGAAUAAUAGAAUAGGAAGUCGUUUCUAUUUUGUUGGUUUCGAACACCGGAGUAAUGAUUAACAGGGACAGUCAGGGGCACUCGUAUUCCGCCGAGAGAGGUGAAAUACUCAGACCAGCGGAAGACGAACCACUGCGAAAGCAUUUGCCAGGGAUGUUUUCAUCA
rnacentral:rRNA from 1 species